CUGGAAGUAUAAACACUUUUAUGAAAGAAUCAUUAUCCAAUGUUUCCACUCUUCUUGUGAAUAAAGAAACUAAUACCUUAUUUGUUGGAGGCAGAGAUGCAGUAUUUGCUGUUGACUUGAAUUAUAUUUCUAGAGAAAUAGCUAGGGAAUACUGGUUUGCUACACAGGAAAGACAACUGGAAUGUGUUCAUAGAGGAAAGGACAAGAUUGGAACUUCUGUUUUCCCCUUGCAUUGACAAUUUUGCCCGGAGUAUUGGGUAUAAUACUUCUGACUUGCCUGACAAAAUUUUGCAGUUUGUUAGAGAUCACCCUCUAAUGGAUAAAUCUGUAAAUCCAAUUGGUGAUAGACUGGUGCUACUGAAGAGAGGUUCAAACUAUACCAGGAUACACGGGCCUAGAUAAACAAACCUAUGAUACUCUGUUUCUAGGAACAGGUAAGUGCAUUUAUUUUAGGAAAAAAUACUAUCGAUUUUUAAGUAUUUUGUUCCAGAUUUUUUUUCUGAGACUUCAAAAAAGUAAAAGUAUUCAUCAGCUCUGUUUGAAUUUUUGCAUUCAGAAGCUGUCUUGCUGGUUUAAUAUUUUCAUCCCAGUUAGAUUAAAUGUGUUUAGCUUAUUGGACAUUAAAAGCCUCUCUUUAGAAACUUUCCAUAUCAAAGGAGACUUGACGUAAUAUUUGCAAAUUCAGGGAUUGUUUGAGGUCUUUUUUUCCACUGAAAAAAAUCAUCACUUCUCUUUUAUUGAAAGAAAAUAUAAGAAUUGCUUUGAAGAAUUUAAAAAAUUCCCUAUGCCCAGGAAUGUCUUCUAAAUCUCUAUCUAAUUUCAACAUGAAUUA
rnacentral:lncRNA from 1 species